rnacentral:lncRNA from 1 species
GAACAGAAGGUCCCCCUGGCCCCUCCUGUUCCUUUCCCAAGACUGCCUUAAAGCUUACUGGGAAAGCCACUGCCUUAUUGUCUCAGAGUCUAUGACUGUCGUCUCUAGGAUCGCUAAACGCGAGCCAUCGAGUAAGCCUUUUUCCCUAAUCCUUGUCCGGUUAGGGCCUUAACUGAGGUUCAGUGGUUAUUAUACGAGUUUAACUUUGCAGAGUUAUUUCCCUGUAUCUAAGUCCGGAACUUAUAAGAUAACUGAACAGGUACGGCCGCUAGAGACUACUAGCUUCAACAAAUACAAAACUCCUAACUAUAUAGGGUCCGGAAAAAGCAUAUGUGAGUUAACACUCUGGAAGGGAAGUUACUCCAGGGUUGGAGUAACGACCGAUCUCACAGGAAAGGUUUCAUAUAAGAAUACAAGCCAGCCCACAUAAGUCUACAUAUGCCUAACAGAGCGAAUUGCUUCGCGAAGGGACCGGAGAGCGCUGCGGUAUGUUUGGGCUGCAGCAGCGCUCGGAGCCCUGAG